rnacentral:rRNA from 1 species
CAUGCAGUCGAACGAUGAAGCUCCAGCUUGCUGGAGUGGAUUAGUGGCGAACGGGUGAGUAACACGUGAGCAACCUGCCCCGAACUUCGGGAUAACAGUUGGAAACAGCUGCUAAUACCGAAUAUGCACCAGAACGGCAUCGUUACUGGUGGGAAAGAUUUAUCGGUUCGGGAGGGGCUCGCGGCCUAUCAGCUUGUUGGUGAGGUAAUGGCUCACCAAGGCGUCGACGGGUAGCCGGCCUGAGAGGGUACCGGCCACACUGGGACUGAGACACGGCCCAGACUCCUACGGGAGGCAGCAGUGGGGAAUAUUGCACAAUGGGCGCAAGCCUGAUGCAGCAACGCCGCGUGAGGGACGACGGCCUUCGGGUUGUAAACCUCUUUUAGUAGGGAAGAAGCCUUCGGGUGACGGUACCUGCAGAAAAAGCGCCGGCUAACUACGUGCCAGCAGCCGCGGUAAUACGUAGGGCGCAAGCGUUAUCCGGAAUUAUUGGGCGUAAAGAGCUCGUAGGCGGUUUGUCACGUCUGCUGUGAAAACUGGAGGCUCAACCUCCAGCCUGCAGUGGGUACGGGCAGACUAGAGUGCGGUAGGGGAGAUUGGAAUUCCUGGUGUAGCGGUGGAAUGCGCAGAUAUCAGGAGGAACACCGAUGGCGAAGGCAGAUCUCUGGGCCGUAACUGACGCUGAGGAGCGAAAGAGUGGGGAGCAAACAGGCUUAGAUACCCUGGUGUCCACUCCGUAAACGUUGGGAACUAGUUGUGGGGGCCUUUCCACGGUCUCCGUGACGCAGCUAACGCAUUAAGUUCCCCGCCUGGGGAGUACGGCCGCAAGGCUAAAACUCAAAGGAAUUGACGGGGACCCGCACAAGCGGCGGAGCAUGCGGAUUAAUUCGAUGCAACGCGAAGAACCUUACCAAGGCUUGACAUAUACCGGAAACGGCUGGAGACAGUCGCCCCCUUGUGGUCGGUAUACAUGUUGGUUGCAUGGUUGUCGUCAGCUCGUGUCGUGAGAUGUUGGGGUUAAGUCCCGC